rnacentral:rRNA from 1 species
CACGUAGGGCGCAAGCGUUGUCCGGAAUUAUUGGGCGUAAAGAGCUCGUAGGUGGUUUGCUGCGUCCGCUGUGAAAACCCAAGGCUUAACCUUGGGCUUGCAGUGGAUACGGGCAGACUAGAGGUAGGUAGGGGAGAAUGGAAUUCCCGGUGUAGCGGUGAAAUGCGCAGAUAUCGGGAGGAACACCGGUAGCGAAGGCGGUUCUCUGGGCCUUACCUGACACUGAGGAGCGAAAGCGUGGGGAGCGAACAGG